UCUAACGGAAAUAAAAAUAAGAAAUAUAUAGAAAAUAGAAUUAUGACGUGCUGUAUAUAAAGAGCAAUGGAGAAAAUAAAACAAGCAUAUAUGAAAAGAAGAAGAAGAAAGAAAAUGAAAAUUGUAGAUGGAUAGAGUCGUCCCACACUUGAGGUUGGUCCACAAUGAAUACCGUUGGAGGCUUCGCAGGCUUUUGUUCUGUCCUUGUCUUCUUUGUCUCUCUCUCUCUCUCUCUCUCCCUCUCCAUCUUUUGUUUCUUAUUCUCUAUCAUAUCAACCUAUAGCUUAAACUAAUAUAUCAUACUGUGUAUGUAAUUUUACAAAUUUUAGCUACGUACAGAAACCAAACAUGUAGUCCUAAGAAUUCAUCGACUGUUUAUGUACUUCAUAAAAAGCUACUGAGUCUUUAUCGUUAAAAUUUUAAUUGUCUUAAACUUUUUUGUUUUCUUUAGUUUGUGCAUGAGGGGGUAGAGAUAAUGAGUCUGCUGCUACUACUAGUAAAAGUAACUGUACAUUAUAAAAUGCGUGGGGAUGUCGUCAUUAAUUAAAUUGGAAUUUUGGCAUUUAAUAGGAGAGAAAAGAGUGAAAGGUGCUUCACAUACACGCGCCGUAGUUUCUUACCGGGAAAGCGAUUGGUAGUGUUUGAUGUUAACUAGACCGGGCCCGGUUUAGUAUGGGCGGCGGCCGAACCGACCACCUGGCUCCUUCUCUUCUCUGGAUGGGAUUCUGCAAAAUCUUAUUUCGGAUCUUAUUUGGAUUUUGAUCAGUUCAUAUUAUUAUAUAUAAAAUCGG
rnacentral:lncRNA from 1 species